rnacentral:rRNA from 1 species
AGCGAACGCUGGCGGCAGGCUUAACACAUGCAAGUCGAACGGGCACUUCGGUGCUAGUGGCAGACGGGUGAGUAACGCGUGGGAACGUACCUUUCGGUUCGGAAUAAUUCAGGGAAACUUGGACUAAUACCGGAUACGCCCUUCGGGGGAAAGAUUUAUCGCCGAUAGAUCGGCCCGCGUCUGAUUAGCUAGUUGGUGAGGUAAUGGCUCACCAAGGCGACGAUCAGUAGCUGGUCUGAGAGGAUGAUCAGCCACAUUGGGACUGAGACACGGCCCAAACUCCUACGGGAGGCAGCAGUGGGGAAUAUUGGACAAUGGGCGCAAGCCUGAUCCAGCCAUGCCGCGUGAGUGAUGAAGGCCUUAGGGUUGUAAAGCUCUUUUGUCCGGGAAGAUAAUGACUGUACCGGAAGAAUAAGCCCCGGCUAACUUCGUGCCAGCAGCCGCCGUAACAC